GCUGGCAUCUGUCCACCAUAAGGUUUCCAGAGAGGCUGGAGGGCAAACCUGCAGGAGAACAGGGGUGGAGUCAUGGAGCAGGAGGUGUUCUGCAGUGACCCAUGAAGUCUGGUCAGUCCAAUGGCCCUGUGUGAGGCGGGGCCCAAGCCUUGGAGGAGAUGACAGUGGAGUGCUCGAAUCCAGUCUGGCCUCCUCUGCAAGCUCUGGCUCUUGGUCACAGCAUGGAUAUUUGCAGCUUCUUAAUCCUCUAGCUCUUUUCUUCUUCCAUCCCAUUAAAAGACAACCCACACCAUGGCUAUGUGCCUCAGAGGAAGACACUCGUGAUCUUGAGUCUCAUGCAGCACUUGCAGGGAGUCCCACGAGGGGACUGUGGCAAAAGAUUCAGCCUCUCCAGCCUUGACUUCCUCACGUGUAAGAGGCAAGUGGCCAAUCUCUCCCCUCUUGUGGCUGGUGUGAACUGCCUGAAACUAUGGGUGUGAGUGGGAAUCUUCUGGCCCUGUGCCCAGCCCCACCCACUGGUGGUGGAUAAGACAUG